rnacentral:lncRNA from 1 species
GAGGAACAACCUGCUGUUGCGGAAAGCGGCGUUGGCCAAGGAAGUGGAAGAGCUGAAACGGUCUAAGGCCGAGGAGAUAGCUGUUGCCCGAGCCGAAGCGGUCGAGUUGUUUCGUAGUUCAGAAGGGUUGCGCAGCUAUAUCAUGGACCGGUUGGUGGAUGAGCAACUUCGUUUGGAGUAUAGGCUGGCGAGGUUCAAUCCUUCGGUUGAGAUCAACUUCGAUACGAGCGGCGAGCCUCCUUCACCUAGUCCUACUACCGAUGCCACUGCUGUUAAGCCCGAGUUGGAG